rnacentral:lncRNA from 10 species
GAUCCCAGACAAGAUGCCGGAGCAGCAGCAGCCAGCUUGAGGAUAGAGGCUCUGUGCUAAGAAUGGAAACCUACAGGUUGCAGAAGAAAAUGGCUGGUGGAAAUGCAGCAGGAAGAAUAACAUGGUUCUGAAACCAGGCUGUCCUGGUUGACGUUUCCUGCCCAUAAGGCCAUCGAAAGGUGGGCAUCUCCUCACGUGGCUGCUGCUAGUGACGGACCUAGUAUGGCCCUGGGAGUUAAAGCGGUGCUGUGGCCUCUGCAGUCCUCAGCACUCCUUCUGGCACUACAGGCAUGCUGUGUUUACAGCAGAGAUGGAGAGGUUUUCUGCCCUAUCUCCACCCUGCCCAGCCCCUAGCUCUGGGCUUUAGUUUGUUAUCUGGGUACCAGAGAGCAUAGCUUGAGCCCCUGCGUCUCACAGAGUCCCUUAUGACAACAGCCUCCUCAGACUCUGCAAACAACCUCUCUCUCCACAGGGCUCAGAUGAGAAUCCAGGGAAACCAACUUCUUAAAAAUAGAUGCCAGUAGGCUGCCUACCCUGCCAAGUCAUUGGACAUUUCCAGACAUGCCUGAUUCCCAGCAGAGAACACAAAUUAGGCUCUCGAAUCCCUGCUACAUUACUAAACGUGCAUAGCACGCCCUAAUGCUUUCCCCUGAAUCAACUCUGUUCGGUAGGUAGGACAGAUGAUAGUAUUAUAGUUUCCAUCUUUCAUACAGAGAAAUUAAUUCUUAGUGAGAAAAAGCUAGAAGCCUGAAGUGAGAUAAUAAUUAAGAUUCUGAUUGAUCACAUGAAUGGAGGGCUUUGAAUAGCAAAUCUGGCACUCUCCUGGGGUACUUCACGGUAACAGGUCACCAAGCUUGGCCCAGAUGCUCUAGACAGAGGCAUUUUCCUCUCUGUGCUCAUGGCAUGUUGGUUUGUUGCAGAGUUUGCUGUAUUUUGUGACACCACUUUAAACGUCAGUCUUCUCCACUAAACAUCUCUCAUGCCAGCAAAGUGCCUGGCAUGGAGAAGGGACCUGAUAAACAUUUAUCGGUGGUAUGAAUAUGAAUUUUUAAAAAAAAUCUCUUAAUGUUUCUCUAAUGAAGGUGGAAUCCUCCCACCCCAGAGAACAUUUGGAAGUGGAGGAGCAUUUUUCGUUGUCACAAUACCAAGGAGUGAUGCUCCAAGCCUUUUAUAACCGGGGCCAGGGAUACGGGAUAUCUUGCAAUCUGUCAGACAGUCCUGCACAAAGAAGUGCUCUGUCCAAAAUGCCAAUCGCUCCUCCUUUGAGAAUAACUACAAGGAAGUCCAAAUGUUAGGAAAGUCCCAAGCACUCCUAAGCCUUCGAGUCUAGCCUAGGAAUAACUUAGCUAUCUGUGACCUUGCUAUUUGAGUUUUGAGACAAAAUAGGGGUUAUGCUAUAUACCCACCUCAUGCUAUGGUUUAAUGAGAACAUAUGUAAGAGGCCUAACAGAGUGGUUGCAUGUGGCAGGAAGACAAGUGAUUUGAGCUCCUUUUCCCCUUACUUCAGGUAAUAGGAACAAUCAUUUGUCUAUGUAUCAGUUUGGCCUAUGGUUUAAUUCAACUGAAAGAUAUUUUGAAAGCAGGCCUAGUGUUCUACGAUCUGCCCUUGGAAAUAUAAAAAGUAGUAUGGUAGUAUAUUUCCCAAUUGUUAUGAGGAUUCGAGUUUCUAAAGAUCAGUGCCUGGCACUGAGUAGUCUCUUUAUAAAUAGUUGACUUGAUGAUAGGUGGCAGAAAUCGAAGAAAAGCAGUGCUCUUGCUUAAAUAUUAAGGUAGCAUAAAAUCAAAUCAUAUUCUCCCUCUUUAGCAAAAUUGAGUGAGAUUUCUUUAGUAAGUUCUGCUUAUCCACUAUUUCCUGCAAAUUAAACAGACUUCCCACAGAAGACAACAAUUCUUGACUUCACUCUGUUCCCACCAUUGCAGAGUAAUGCAUGCUUGGGGCAAAAACACAUAUGACUCACCUGUUUUAUAGUGUCUCUUCGUACCCUUUCAAUUCCCACUGGUGAACGAAUUUACUUUCUACCUGCUUCUUAUUAGAGAAAAUAUGUCAUAGAAACAUUACAAAAUGUUGAUAAGAAUAGAAAACCAUAAUCCUAACCCUAUUGCAACUGUUUAAAAAAUUGCCUUCCAAUGCUUUUCUAUAAGAAUGUCUUUUUGCUGGGCGCGGAGGCUCACGCCUAUAAUCCCAGCACUUUGGGAGGCCGAGGCGGGUGGAUCACGAGGUCAGGAGUUCAAGACCAGUCUGGCCAAGAUGGUGAAACCCCGUCUCUACUAAAAAUACAAAAAUUAGCCGGGCAUGGUGGUGGGCGCCUGUAAUCCCAGCUACUCGGGAGGCUGAGGCAGGAGAAUUGCUUGAACCCAGGAGACAGAGGUUGCAGUGAGCCGAGAUCGUGCCAUUGUACUCCAGCCUCUGUGACACAGCGAGACUCUGUCGCAAAAAAAAAAAAAAAGUCUAUUUAUGGAGUAGCUAUCAUAAUGCACAUACUAUUUUGAUUUCUACUAUAUCCAAUUUGUAUUAUAUAUUUUCCACGUUUCCACGUAAUUGUAAUGUUUAAUGACUGCAAAAUAUUCCAUUGCUUUAAUAUGCCAUCCCAUCUUGUUGGAUAUUGAGAUUGUUCUUACUAGGUAGGGCAGCAAUAAAUAUUUUUUUUACAAACAAUUUU